CUCGGGUUACCGAAUUCAGAUAAACUCCGAAUGCCAUGUACUUAUACUCGGGAGUCAGACUGCGAGUGAUAAGAUCCGUAGUCGAAAGGGAAACAGCCCAGACCACCAGUUAAGGUCCCCAAAUAUAUGUUAAGUGGAAAAGGAUGUGGGGUUGCUUAGACAACCAGGAUGUUGGCUUAGAAGCAGCCACCAUUGAAAGAGUGCGUAAUAGCUCACUGGUCGAGUGACCCCGCGCCGAAAAUGUACCGGGGCUAAACAUAUUACCGAAACUGUGGAUGAACCUCUUUAGAGGUUCGUGGUAGGAGAGCGUUCUAAGGGCGGUGAAGUCAGACCGGAAGGACUGGUGGAGCGCUUAGAAGUGAGAAUGCCGGUAUGAGUAGCGAAAGAAGGGUGAGAAUCCCUUCCACCGAAUAUCUAAGGUUUCCUGAGGAAGGCUCGUCCGCUC
rnacentral:rRNA from 1 species